UCAAAAUUAUAUGCGUUCAUAGCUUAAAAAUGAAAAUUGUUCUACGAGGUUCAUUUUUUAAAAAUCCCAACAAUCUUUUCUCACCUGUUGCCAGCUACCUUAACUUUUAACUAUUUGUUUGGAUUAUAUCUACAUGUACCUAAAUAAUUUGCUUACACUGUUUCUUCUUAAUUUUUAAACUCUUUAUAGAAGACUAAACUUUUGAUUUUUCACUUCUUCCCCCUCCAAGAAAAUACACACACACACACACACUCACACACACGCUCAAACACACGUGCAUGUGCUCCUCUUUCCACAUUCUUUCUACAUAAUUAUAUUAUGAUGUUUGGAUUGAGAGACAGUGUUUUACAUUGCUCUGAGUCAAGAACACACUAUUCACAGCUGAGCCAUGUAAUGUACUAUUAUUACAUUUCUUUUCUUAUACUACAUUUUUAUGUCCCUGGAGUUAGUAAUUUUUUACUUUUUUAUUUGGAGGGGUGCUGCUUGGUUUUCUAUGUGCCAAUUGCUAAUUGUACAAACUCUUUACCAGAAAUGUAAAUCUUCUUAUAUAGACACAUUAGGUCUGCUAUUUAUUCUUCUUUUUUGAGAGAUUUCUCCAGAGCUCUGUCUUCCUGCUCCAAUCUAGAGUUAAUAUUCUCUAGAUUUACCACUGAGAUGUCAUCCUGGGACCUCUCUUUGCCAGCAUCCUGGGAGAUUCCCUUGGUGCCUGUCUGUACUUGAUUACUUGUUUCUUGGAUCCAGUGUCUUUUUUCUUGAUAUACUCCCUCAUUUGAGAGGAUCUUAUUCUCCAUUACAUUCCUGAGAAAAGGUGCAAGAAAGGUGCAAGAAAAAUUUUUGAACCUUGAAUGUCUGACAAUGUCUUUAUUUUAUCCUCUCAAUUAAUUGAUGAUAUGGCUAGGUAUAGAAUAGUGUAUUCGAAAUCAUACCCUAAGAAUUUUGAAGGUAGGCAUUGAUUAUUUUUCUCUUCUUUCCAGUGUGGUAUUGAGAAGUCUGAUGCUAUUCUGAAUGUUGAUUAUUUCUUUACUUUCUGAAAGCUUUAUACAAUUUUUUCUUUGUCUCUAGUAUUUUGAAAUUUAAGAAUGAUGUGCUUGGGGCUUGGGCCUUUUUUAUCCAUUGUGUUCGCACUUGGCCGUACUUUUAAUGUGAAAACUCAUGUACUUCACUUUUCAAAAUUUUAUUUGUUGUAUUUCUUGGAUUUUUUUUCCUCUCUGUUUUCUCUUUUUUUAUGAAACUCUUAUCAUUUGAUUUUAAGCCUUCUGGAUUAACACCACAUUUUAAAAAUAUUUUUCCCUCAUUCAUUUAUUGCCUUUUCCCCAUUCUAGAAGGUUUUCUGAACCCUAUCUUCUAACUCAUCUAUUAAGCUUUACCUUUUUUGUACGUAUUUUUUAAUCUCUAGAUUCCUUUUACAAGAAUGUUCUGAAUGUUCCUUUAAAAAGACUUCAUCUUCUUUGUUUCAUGAAUGUAAUUAAUCUUUUUGAAGUGUUCUCACUGCAUUGUCUUUUUUAAUUUCAAAUUUCUUUAUCUCUUUAUUUUCAUCUCUGACUUUCAGGUUGGCAGAUUUCCUAAAAUUACUGGUCAUCCUUGGUUGUCUGCUUACAGAUGAGUGGGCUGAUAAAGUGCUGUUGGAAGAUCUUUGUAGGUGGGCUUGUUGUUAGAUGAAAUAUACUAUAUUGUAAUCUGGCUGAGCAUUUCAUGGGGUAACUCAUUACUAUAAGUAUUUCCAGGUCUCCCAUAUCUUCUCCAACCAUUCAGGUUCUUCAGGGAAAAAUCUUGUAACCUAUUACCUAAAAGGUAUUAUCCUGGCUGCUUAAACAUGGGCAUCAAACAAAGAAGGGGGAUGAAAAUGGAGGCUGUCUGAUAGUUUGGUGUGUAAACUUCCAUUUAAUUUCUCUAUUUUCAUCAAACCUGAAACUUGAAACCAGUUUGCACAGGCUCACAAAAAGCUGAUUGUGUGCAUCUCUUCCCAACUCCAUGACCAGAGACUUUAUGCUGUCCAUUUGAAAUUAGCUUUGGUGGGAGUAUUUACACCACUGCAAUUGGCAAUGACUACAAAUUAGAGCCCUAGUUGCUUCCCAGCUUCCAAGCUGAUAGUGAAACAUACGCAGAGCACCACCGAACACACUAUAUCUGCUGUGUAUGGUGUUUUCCCAUGCUAGAACCCCUCUUUUUUUUAACCUCCUUGAAGAAAUAUACUUGUCAUCAUCUGCCAGGGUUGGGGAAAGGAAACAUGAUCACAGGGUUGUAUAGAGUGAGAGAGGGAAUCCAGGGUUUUACUGUAUUUUAAAUAUACUUUUAAAUCAUCCCCUAUUUGCAGCCCCCUUUUCACCCCCGCUUUGAAAAGCAUCUGCCACCGCCAUUCCUGGUUUCUGAAGUGCAAUUCAGUUUGCUUCCUGGCUUCACCCACUGAUAGCUUAGAUUUCAGCUUUCUGGGAUCUGCCAAGGCAGUGACCAUUCAGCCACCUGCUUUCCAACUUGCAAAGUUAGGCUUCUGUUGCCCCUGCUCCUCUUUGUUGAGGGUUUCUGUCUUUUUUAACCUCUUAUAGUCCUUUUAGUAGUUUGAGGGAGCUUGAGUAGUUUCAAGAUUGACCUUGAAAAUGCAAGGUCAAUCUGCCUUUUCUAUCCAAAAGUCUAACUGAAAGGAGGAUGUUGUGUUAGGGGCAGGCCAAAAGUCCUGAAUAGUUCAGAAAUACUCUGACUUCCCUGGGCCCUGGGCAGCCCCACAGUCAAGGUUACCUGUCUUGAACUACAGUUAAUAACUUUGCCAGGCAUGGUGGCUGACAGAUGUAAUCCCAAAUACUCGGGAAGCUAAGGCAAGUGGCAAGAGGAUCACUUGAGGCCAGGAGUUUGAGAUCAACCUGGGCAACAUGGCAAGAUCUCGUCUCUAACAAUAACUCGUAGCUUUGUCAGGCCAGGCAUAAACAGCCCCAAUUGUUGGUCAAGACUGCAACUGAGGGCAGGUGAGAACCGCAUUGAGUGAAAAUGAAGUCCUCAUGUAUAGGUAAGCAUUUGCCUGACUAUAUUCAAGUCUUCACCAACUGCUAUAAACUUGGUAACUCUUUAACUUCCUGAAAUUUUACUCUUAUUGGCCUUUGUAAAAUACAUGUUAUUUUUUGUCUUAGAAAAUUUUUCAUGUAUCAGGCCAACCUGAAGAGACCAUGUGGCUUUGACCCAUGACCUGUAGGUCUAAAAACUCGUUAGAAUGUACUUGGCAAUUGAGAAAUAGAUAAUCUUGCUCCUGCUUCAUGUAGCCUCAAGGGUCAUACCAUUCAUCUUGUUAAAUUCGGCUUUUCAGCUCCAAAAAGUGAGGAGGCAUCUCAGCAUGGAUAACUCUGAAGAACAAAUGGCAUUACUGGGCAGAUCACUUAACGUAAACAUAUGGUGGGCAAGUAGAAAGCCUUGCUGAUUCCUUUUAUUCUGUGUUCUGUGCACCCACCAGCAGUGAGUGUAGGAUGGCUGAUUACUGUGGAUUGGAAAAACUCUCCAUUUUUAGUUACGAGAUUGGCAACAAUUUCUGAGACAAAAGCACGCCUGUUGCUGCAGGCAGCCAUGCAGUGCCAGAGCACAAUUGGAAAACCCGUUCUAAGUUGUCAGCCCUGACCCUCAGGUGAUUUUGUGGUGUGUGAUAUAGGGGGGUGUUUUAGGCCAAUCAUUCAAUGGAUUUCCUAAUUUCGCUUCUGGGAGAACGACUCCCCUGCAGAGAGAGGAGGGAGAGGCAUCUGCCCUCUUAGGAAAUAACUUUCAAAUAUGGGAACCAAAACAGACAAAUGAUGCCAUUAGAAAAAACUGUAGGGGUGGAAGAGUAAGCUGUCUGUCCAUGAUCUAAGUCUACACAAUUGGAGUUAGAAAUCUGCAGGUCCCAACCUCUGCUCCACCAAGUUCUAGUAUUAGUUUGUGUUGGGCAGCUGACCCUCUCUAAACCUCUUCCUUCUCUUCUGUAAAUUGGAGGUAAUAAUAAGAACUACCUGUUUAAGCUGCUGUAAAAGUAGGUAAAAAAGGAGGCAAAGCUCUUAGCCCACAGCUAACUCAUAAGCUUCUUAAGUGUUUGCUAUUAUUGGCUAUGACUGUGGGUAGCAUGUCUGCCCCUAGUCAGCUAGAGUCAUACCAAGGUGGCUACUUGUGAAGCUAUAGCCCAAUGAGGUUUUAGGGGAGCACUGGGGCUGCUCUCUAGCAAGCAGAGAACGACUUAGUGAACCUGAGGAAGAUGCAGAGUUGACAUUAAAUAUUUACUAAGCAUGCGCAGUGUACGAGAAAGCAGAUGAAUUUGUCUCCAGGAGCUCCAGGAGCACUUCACUUAAGACAAGGUAUUAAACUUCCAUCUGAAGCCCGAACAUAUCAUCAUUUAAUCACUAGUGAGAAGGUACCUUAGGAAGCAUAAUGUUACGCUUCCGUAAUGGCUGCCAAGGCUGAAUCUUGUCCUAUCACUUUCUCUCCCCUCUGUUUUACACCCACACAGUUCACUGGCAAAGCCCUGCAUCUCCAAGAUAAACAGCCACAGCCACAGUGGAUCUUGGCUUCAGCACAGGCUUGUUUCACCAAAUCUACACACACAGCAAACAUAUUGCGUGGAAAGUCCCCAAGUUCAGAGUUGAGUUGGAGCCUCUGCUCCUGUCUAGGCAUUUUUGUGAAAUGGAAAUGUUCUUGUGUGUAUGCAUGUGUACAAGUAUGUGUAUGUUAGUGCAUACGCAAAUGUACAUGUAUGUAUUCACCCUAGGAAUAGAACUAAUUAACCCACUUUUACUUUGAAUACCAGUAAUUAUUACUACGGAAUUUCAUUUUGGAUUCCAUCACAUCUUAUGAACGACAUUCACUAACUCUGAAAAUACAAGGUAUACCUUAGCAUAAAUAUAUUGAUAUUUCCCAUGGAAGACAAUAAUGGUGAUUUGUCUUUUCUAUGAUGCUGCCUCUUAGUCUGCAUGAUCAUUUUUUUCUUUUUAAAUAGACUUUAUUUAGAGUAGUUUUCGUUUCACAGCAAAAUUGAGCAGAAGGUACAGAAAUUUCCCAUACACUCUCUGCCCCUGCUCAUGAAUAGCCUCCCCUGAUUAUUGGCAUCCCCCAAAAGACUGGUACAUUUGUUACAACUGAUGAACCUACAUUGACACAUCAUUAUCACCCAAAGUCCAUCGUUUACAUAAAGGCUAACUCUUGGUGUUGUAUAUUCUGUGGGUUUGGACAAAUAUAUAAUGAAUGGUAUGUAACCAUGGGUUGUUUUAAUAGUUCUCUGGGCCUUACCAAAUUGAAAAAAAAAAGAAAAGCACUCUAACAGAGGUUGUCCUUCUUCUCAGGUCCUACAGGCAGAAUUGUCUCAGCUAAGAAAUGCAGAGCUACCUUUUUAGGCAGAACAUUUGCUAAUCAUACAAGAAGCCUCUAUUUUUUGAAAUUUCCUUCCCAGAGGUCUCAACUGGACAUUGUGAAUAAACACUUGUCUAUGUCAGGAGUUUACUGUGCUUUGUUAUUCUUUUCCUCUUAUGUAACCGGUCGCUCAGCAUCUUCUUUCUCAACCAUGUAUCCUUAACCAUGCCGACUCCUCUUCUUUCCAAGGGCAAACCUGUACAUUGGCAGCUCAGGGUGAACAGAGCAUUGACUGGCGUCUGACUCUGCUGCCAUUUCUAGUUGCCUCCCUUUGCUGCCAGGAGCCAGGACGUCCCCCGCCUUCCUCUUCCCACUACUCUCCUGCUCCUGCAUUCUGUGUCUUGUCUUUUAUUACUGCCCCCUAACUCUGGAACCCACUUUCUUACCUCCUUAUUUGCAAUCAGCUGCCUCUCUUGCCUUCAGACCAUGAAUUUCUUCUUUUAUCCUCAUGAAAACAAGCCUUGGACAUCAGGUAAACCAAGAUCUGCAUCUCCACUGUGUCAGCUCAAUGCCAUCCUUCCUGGAUACCUACACGGACUCUGGCUGUAAUGCUAUUUCUUUCCUCCCUAGAUUUUAAGGACUUAGAAAGCUGUCAUUUUCAUUGGCUCUAUUAUAUUUUUACAAUACCAAAUAUCUCCUAAACUUUAAACAACAUGAGAAAUGGAUGUGAAAUGUACUAUUUCAUUUACAAGAUGAAGAAUCAGGUAAAUAUGAGCAUUUCUUUAUUUAGUCAGUAGGUAAAAAAAAAAUCAUUCCAGAUGAUCAAAGCAGGACCAUUCCUAGCCACUGGUGGACUAUUGCUUUACACUCAGCCAAAGUUACAGUGCUUGGUGGGGAGGAAUGAUUAUGGAAACAGAGGUAAGGACAACUGCCAAUAUGAACAUACAUUCUAUAAACACAGCUCAAAUUACCUUCAUACAUUUUGAACUUAAAAAUCUCACCAAUCGACAGAGAAAAAACAUUCCUCUAAGUAUCUAUGUCUGGAAUAAUAUAAAGUGAACAGACAGUGCAUUCAGCACAAAUACUGUUCAGUACUUCUCAUGCUUCCUGCAACCUGCCUACUUUUCCAGCAACCAAAGGAGCAAGAGAGCCAACCAUAGUAGUUCAUUAACCUUUUCAAGUUUCCAGAUGCUGUUCUUGUCUCUGUUUGGAUAACUGCCAUUAUGUUCUGUUUCCAAUGUAAUCUUGUAUCUAACACUCUCUUCCAGAUACUGUUGACCUCUGCCAUAUUCCUACCAAAGUAUACAAAACAAAAAGAGGUCUGCUGUGGUCCAUAGCAUAGCAGGAACCCCCCAUGCCAUUCACAGACAGAUCCAAUGGGAGUUGCCUUUUCAACUGAGGGAUGGCAGUAUGGUUUUUCUUGAGAGGGAAACAUCCAAGCCAGAAGUAGCCUGCAGGGCUUCUAUUUGGUUUUGCCCACCUCAUCCAUCAGUGCUCUUGUUGGGUCACUGGCCAUGGUCACCUGGGAACAACACAUCCUGAGCAUCCCAGAUAGCUGCUUUUUGGCUUUGGGUAGGAGGGAAGAAUAGCCAUGCAUUAUAAUGAAUAUUCUAGAAUGUGGCUUUGGAUUCUGAACAGGGGAAAGGCUUCUCUAAAGUCAGAGCUUCAGGCAAUUUUUCUGUCUCAAUUAUCCCCACAAGAUUAAGGUCCUUCCUUCCAUACAAUCCUCUCCAUAGGUCUUUUGUUCCCCAGUGUGCUUUCUGAAAGCCCACCAAUCAAGUGAGAUCCCUGGCCAACAGCACUCCUUCUGUGCUCAUUUUUCAUUCAUAGGUAAUAUUUGUAAGCUACAAACCUCAUUUCAUUCUGAACAAAUACAUAUGUUCAUGCCUAAUGCUUGGAUGGAAUGUUAGUGAAGUGUUGUGGGGUUUUUGUUCACAAUAGACUGGAUCUGUUGUUGGCAAAACUCUUUUAGAAAGUAGAACCUGCUGGGCGCGAUGGCUCACGCCUGUAAUGCCAGCACUUUGGGAGGCCGAGGCGGGAGGAUCACGAGGUAAGGAGAUCAAGACCAUCCCAGCCAACAUGGUGAAACCCCAUCUCUACUAAAAUAUUAAAAAAAAAAAAAAAAAUUAGCCGGUUGUAGUGGCACACGCCUGUAGUCCUAGCUACUCGGGAGGCUGAGGCAGAAUAAUUGCUUGAUCCAGGGAGGUGGAGGUUGCAGUGAGCCAAGGUCAUGCCACACACCACUGUACUCCAGCCUGGUGACAGAGUGAGACUCCGUUUCAAAGAAAAGAAAAGAAAAGAAAAGAAAAGAAAAGAAAAGAAAAGAGUAGAACCCUGUCUGCAAGUAAAACCUGACAUGGAAGCCUGCUAUACACAUCCAAUAAAAAUGCAACUGCUCAGGUGAGAAUCAAGGUAGAUCAACUGCUUGGUCUGCCUUGCCUUGUUUCAGGGAGCAGCCCCUGAGGGAACCAGGAAGAAGCCUUAUAGCACCAGAGGGCAAGGGCUCAAGAACUCAGAACUAGACCACUUGGCAGGCUCUUUUCUGCAACAAACUAUUAUUUCAUAAUAUAGUUACACUGUGCAGUUCCAAACACCAUCCAAUGCCCAUAUCUUUUAGCUUUUUUCAACGGAAAAAUAAUGAUGGCUUCAAAUAUAUAGCUUGAGGAAUAAGUAACAGAAUACGUGCUGCCAACUAGUUAUGAAAUAAAGUAUGCAGUUAACAUCAAGGCCCAUGCCCUCACUUCAUAUGGCAAGUUAUCACUGCAAGCUACUGGGCACCUGCAUCCUCAGACACCUAGGUUCUUUUUCCUUGGACACUUUUCUCUUUCUUCUCAUCAUCCUCUCUCUUGCCUCUUACAGUCCCUUUUGCUCCCUCCUUUUCUCCAUAUCUUCCCUGACCUCUCUUUUCUCUCUUUCAUUACCAAUUCUUUCUUUCUCUUUUCUUUCUUAUCAUGUUGCUUUUUUUAGCCUUUGUUUAGCUUCUAUCUGCUCCUUCAGGAUCAGUCAGGCCUGGUCAGGUUACAGUGCAAUAACACACAUCUCCCAAAUCUCAGAUGCUUAAAGCAACAAAGUUAAUUUUACAGUCCUUCCACAGGCCCGUCACAGGUUGCUCAUUGGAGUUGUUCAGGGACCCAGGCUGAUGAAGCAGCCAUUUUCUCAAAUGUUGGAGAGAGAGCAUGUAGGGAAGCCUGCGUUCUUUCCUGAAGCUUCUACCUAGAUAUGAAAUAUGCAUCACUUCCCACAUAUUUUAUUGCUAAAGCAAAUUACACAGACAAAAUUUAAAUUGGUGGGGGAAGCACAAUGCUACCAUGUGCCUGUAAGUUUAGAGGGUUCAAAUAUUUGAAAUUCGCCUAAUGAGUACCACUGUCAUUAUGUAACCUUCACAGCUCUAUGUCAGGGUCCUUCCGAAUACUUUGCUUCUAAUGUUCUUUCCCUCUAGCCCUGCACCUUGACCUCCUUAUUUGUUCCUAUUUGAGAUCUUCCUUAUUUCCUCCUCAUCCUCCGCCGUCAUGUGGUGGCUGCACCAAGAGUAAUUAUAAGAAGUAUCACUAGGCUGGGCGGGGUGGCUCAUGCCUGUAAUCCCAGCACUUUGGGAGGCUGAGGUGGGCGGAUUACCUGAGGUCAGGGUUUUGAGACCAGCCUGACCAACCAACAUGGAGAAACCCCAUCUCUACUAAAAAUGCAAAAUUAGCCAGGCGUGGUGGCACAUGCCUGUAAUCCCAGCUACUCAGGAGGCUGAGGCAGGAGAAUUGCUUGAACCCGGGAGGCAGAGGUUGCAGUAAGCUGAGAUUACACAAUUGCACUCCAGCCUAGGAAACAAGCACGAAACUCUGUCUCAAAAAAAAAAAAAAAAAAAAAAAGAAGUAUCAUGUCUAGAGGCAGGGAGAGGAGCUUCAUGGUUUUUAAUGCACAAUUUCUGGGAUAACAUGGUUAUAGUCCUCUAAGCAGAAGAGAAGGCAGUAUCAGGAUCCUACGGGUAUCUGGCCCUAGCUCAGACCCCUCCUUCAUGGAGGUGCGAUCCUAGCAGACUCUGCUCAUUCCCAGCUGUUGCUGCUAAGGCGAGGUUUCUGAAGGCUCAGACAGAGCAGCCGCUCCCUUUUCCCACUCCACGUGGCACCACAUCAAUAAUCAUUUAAACACAGCCGGGCGUGGUGGCUCAUGCCCGUAAUCCUAGUGCUUUGGGAGGCCGAGGAAGGCAGAUUACUUGAGGUCAGGAGUUCGAGACUGGCCUGGUCAAUGUGGUGAAACCCUGUCUCUACUAAAAAUACAAAAAUUAGCCAGGCAUGGUGGCGGGAGCCUGUAAUCCCAGCUACUCGGGAGGCUGAGGCAGGAGAAUCACUUGAACCCAGGAGGCAGAGAUUGCAGUGAGAGGAGAUCAUGCCACUGCACUCCAGCCUGGGUGACAGAGCAAGACUCUGUCUCAAAAAAAUCAAAACAAACCAAAAAACUCAUUUAAACACUCUUCCUCCAUAGCCAUCAUUGAACUAUCGAAAAAUAAGUCAGGGUAAAACCAUUCCCAUUAUACUUUAUACAUAUAGAGAAAUUAAAUGAAGCAAAAAUAAAAGAGAGUUUACUCAGUAUCAAUCAUAGUUAGAAUGAAUCCUAGGAAGUAACUGCAUUGUAAAAUUAUACGGAAAUCCGUAAGUUAAAGUUAAAUCUUAGCUGUCAACAAAACAUCAUCUGUGAAUUAAAGAAAGGUGAGUACAUUUACUUGAGUACAAACAUUAUUCAUUUCAUCUGUACCAGGGACUAGUAAACCAGAAGCCAGCAAACCUAUCAUACCUGCCUCCUGUUCUCCACCUUGCUGAAGAGUCACAUGCAGUUUUGCAUGUUAGACUCCCCUCCUGGAUAGAUUUCAACGGCACAGGGGUUUGGGGAAUUUAGGAAGUGUUGAUGGCAGGAAGGUCCUUCAAAGAAUUCUAACAUGUUACCAAGAGUGCUGAGACCCAAAUCAGCUAAUGGCUAUGUGGUAUGAUCAAAUACAAGUUGGCCUAAUAUUGGGAGUGGUUACAGAUAAAUAGCUGCUUAUAUGAGAUGACAAAGGACAUAGGGAAGGUUUUCAAAUGCUUCCCUCAGUGUUGACUAUGUUGACAAAACUUUACAACUAGAGAAUUCUUCCUUUAGGAUUUUUUAUUUUUAUUUUUUAGUUUUCAAGAAGAACCAGUAAAAAAGAAAAUAUAGCAGGGAGCCACAACACUCAUUUUUAAGCUAUUAUAAACCAACACCAUAUUACAGAGGUAACUGACAUGAUAAAUCUGGGCUAGGUAGCUAGGUAGGAAGUGAAGAGUUCAUGGUCCUAAGAGGAUCUGAUCCGGUGCUUCUUGGGAAAUGGGAAAGACUGAAGACAAGACCUGCUACCUUCUCAUUUUUUUGUUUUUUUCUAAAGAACAGCUCUGAUUUUUCUCAAGGCAAACUAAAAAAAAGUCUAAGAUAAAAAAGCAAAACCCAUCUUCCCAAAGUUGCAUGUUAGUUGCAUUCCCUGAGCCCCUAGCUAUAUCUGAGAUUUCCCUUUAGGGAAAUUCCACAGGUUACAAUUCCUUGGGUAGGGUCCCUUUAAGUUGUUGGUUAGAGACGUGGGACAGGAAGCGGAAGCGGAGGUCAGGCUGAGAGGAGAUACCUAGGAAAGCCGGGGCACAGAGCAAAGCAGCCGUGGAGGCGUGCAUGACCAAUGCAGAGCCAGCCAUAGACUCUUCCAAGCCUCCUUCGAGGAGGCCAGUGUGGGGAGGUGGAAUAUGUAGGGAUGAACACCCACACUAUGUGUGGAGUUCCUUAGGUAAAAAAUACUAGCAGUGCCUUACUUUAGGGAACUGAAUAUUCUGAGCUAUAGCCAAGGAGAAAAGGUGAUCACACGGUGGCCUUCCUCUACCUGGGUGAAUGUUCCAAGGCUCCUCAGACACAGCUCUCCAUUCUCUGCGCAGCCUCUGCCUUCCAUCUGCCUCUGAACAAACAAACAGCUACAGGCAAAGUAGUAGCUCGCAACUCCAGUUUUGCAUGGGAGUGACUCAUGUCACAGAGAAUGUGAGUCAUUCUCUGCUCCAGGGGAGUUUACACUCAGGCUUAGCACAAUCGUCCUUUUCCCUAGCCCUCCUCCCUUCCCUGCAAGCUUUGAGGACUUUGAACUCCAUAAAACGAUCCUAUAGAAUAAAAGAGAGUAGUGACAGGGUGUGUGUGUGCAAACUGUAGUGUGCACAGAGGCACCAAAGAAGUUGUAGACCUAACUCAUCUGCAAUUAAAGACUGCAGAAAAAAUAUGUGAGCUACUUUUAAAUGAAGAAUAUUCAGCAUAAAGAACAAUUGGAAAAAUUCAAACAUGUAUUAUCUCCUCUCAAUAAAUACUAUUUCCUCAAAAGAGCUGGCACAGUUGGCUGGGAGCGGGGAGCAUUUUCCUACUCUUAUGAAGAUGGUUUAUAUUUGAUUUGCAUUUCAGAUUUUUUUUUGUAAAUUACUGAACAUACAUCAUGUAGUCAGACCCAUCUUAAGAAAUGCCAUCCUUCCUGCCAUCCUAGGCACGCUCUCAUGAGACUCCCUGCAGUGAGAGCUUGUGUCUAAAUGUCAGAUGUAGGACAGAUAUAAAGGACAACUUUGAUCACAAUUCUGGGCCAAAAUGAUUACCUUUUGGGUUCUUCUCCUAUAAUCAUCUUUUUUCAGAGAGCUUGUGGCUUAUUCGUUUGCUCAAAAUAAAGCACAUUAUUUUUCAUAAGAGAAAAAGAAACUGAGCUUAUGUGAUCUAAAAGUGUUAAAGUAUAGCCAAUAUGUAUUAUUAGAAGCAAAUAUGUUCUUUUUAUAAAAGACAAUGCAAAAGCCUUUCUAGACAUUAUUUUUGUCAGAAUCUGCCAAAGAAAGAGAGAGAGAUGGGCACAAGGAGUAUUUCUCAGACGCCAAAUCAAAGAGAAAAAUCUUAGGAGAGAUAAACAUUAUGUCAUGUUUCUGAAACUUCCUGAUUAUACUUAAAGUAGACCAUCUGUCCCCAGUGACGGAACUCACUGGAUGAGACCUUGAGGAAUGUAACUCUUUGUAAAAUUUCUGAAACAUUGAAUUUGCUCCCCAGUAGUCCAACUUUGUAGCAAAUCUGUUACCCAGAUGUAAAUUUAGAAGCAUCCGAGUUCUUGGCUCCCUAAAGGAAGAAUUUCAAUUUAGAAGAGGCAUUAUAGACUCUAACAAGAGAAGAAUGGCUCAAAACCUAAAUUACCCCAAACAAACCGGGAUGCAACAUAAGGGAAGUAAGUGGAGAAUUCAGCAUUAGGGAAAGGUGAAUAUGAGCUGCUCUUACCACUGAGAGAAAAAUACUGUUACUGCAAACAAAAAUGAAACUCACAAAUAUGAUCCAAAUGUUAAAUGUAUGCUCUGGUUUUGAAGAACAAAUUCAUUCCUCACUAAGCAUUUUCCUAAGCGUCAUUCAGUACAUGCACAAACUCAAACUUGACAUGACAUCUACCAAAGGCGUGUGUGUGUGUCUGUGUGUGUAUCUGCCUGUAUAUCACCAGUCUUCUACAAAGAGGCAGAUGGUACUAGGGAAAAAAAGCUGACAGAGAACCGCAAUAUAAAUCGUGAUACAAUUCUUAAGUUGAGUAAAAAUGGGACAGGAGAAUCGUACAAAAAUUCAGCAAGAAAAGCUUGAAGGAAAAAAAAAAAAAACCGUGGAGGAAAUGGUGGAAAGCAUCAGGAAGUGGAGCAAGCUUGGAAAAGUGAAGUGGGAGAAAUGCUGAGUGACAGAUGCCAUGGACCUGUAAGGGAGGCAAGAGGAUGGGUCCAGCCUAUGGAAGAAAGCAGAAGAAGGGAACAGCCACUUGUGAAAUCCCAAGAGGACAUGCCUUGCUUCCCCUUCUGCCACGAUUGCAAGUUUCC